GACGAACGCUGGCGGCGUGCUUAACACAUGCAAGUCGAACGGAAAGGUCCUGCUUUUGUGGGGUGCUCGAGUGGCGAACGGGUGAGUAACACGUGAGUAACCUGCCCUUGACUUUGGGAUAACUUCAGGAAACUGGGGCUAAUACCGGAUAGGAGCUCUUGCUGCAUGGUGGGGGUUGGAAAGUUUCGGCGGUUGGGGAUGGACUCGCGGCUUAUCAGCUUGUUGGUGGGGUAGUGGCUUACCAAGGCUUUGACGGGUAGCCGGCCUGAGAGGGUGACCGGCCACAUUAGGCCUGAGAUACGGCCCAGACUCCUACGGGAGGCAGCGGUGGGGAAUAUUGCACAGUGGGCGGAAGCCUGGUGCGACAACGCCGCGUGCGGGAUGACGGCCUUCGGGUUGUAAACCACUUUCGCCUGUGACGAAGCGUGAGUGACGGUAAUGGGUAAAGAAGCACCGGCUAACUACGUG
rnacentral:rRNA from 1 species